CUACGGGGCGCUCCAGUGAGGAAUAUUGCACAAUGGGGGGAACCCUGAUGCAGCAACGCCGCGUGGAGGAUGACGCAUUUCGGUGUGUAAACUCCCUUUAUAUGUCAAGAAAAUGACGGUAGCAUAUGAAUAAGCACCGGCUAACUCCGUGCCAGCAGCCGCGGUAAUACGGAGGGUGCAAGCGUUACUCGGAAUCACUGGGCGUAAAGGACGCGUAGGCGGGUUGGAAAGUCAGGUGUGAAAUCCUACAGCUUAACUGUAGAACUGCACUUGAAACUUCUAAGCUAGAGUAUGGGAGGGGGAGAUGGAAUUAGUGGUGUAUGGGUAAAAUCCGUAGAUAUCACUAGGAAUACCUAAAGCGAAGGCGAUCUCCUGGAACAUUACUGACGCUAAGGCGUGAAAGCGUGGGGAGCAAACAGGAUUAGAUACCCUCGUAGUC
rnacentral:rRNA from 1 species